ACGGUGACGUUAACCUGCGUUGUGUACAAUCUUCCUUUUGAAGCCAAUUUCACCUGGAUACACGACAAGAAGACUCUGAAAUCAGAGAUUGUUGACCAGUCCGGAGAGCAUUCCGAAGGUGUGAUCAGCAAGUUAGAUAUUUCUACUGAAGCCUGGCUGAGUGGGGAUAAAUAUGAAUGCGUGGUGAACAAUCAGUAUCUACCGACUCCACUGAGAGACUCUAUCCACAAGGAGAAAUUGGUAAAUCCGCUGGAGCCAUUGGUGUCCGUCCUCCUGCCAACGACAGAAGAAGUCUCCGCACAGAGGUUUGUUUCGCUCACCUGUUUAGUGAGAGGUUUCAGGCCCCGAGAGAUCUUCGUCAAGUGGACAACCAACGACAAGCCCGUUAAUCCCACUAACUAUAAGAACACCGAGGUGACGGCAGAGAGCGAUAACACCUCCUUCUUCUUGUACAGCCUAUUAUCCAUUGCUGCGGAGGAGUGGGCCAGCGGUGCUUCUUACUCCUGUGUGGUGGGACAUGAAGCGAUUCCAUUGAAGAUCAUCAACAGAACGGUUGAUAAAUCCAGCGGUAAACCGAGUUUUGUGAAUAUUUCGCUUGCACUGAUGGACACCGUAAAUUCAUGCCAAUGAAAAUCUCAAGGUUACACUUAAGAAUUCAAUAAAAGUCAUAAAGUGUUUUCUUUCCUCCAA